rnacentral:rRNA from 1 species
GACGAACGCUGGCGGCGUGCUUAACACAUGCAAGUCGAACGAUGAAGCUAGAGCUUGCUCUGGUGGAUUAGUGGCGAACGGGUGAGUAACACGUGAGUAACCUGCCCCGAACUCUGGGAUAACUGCUGGAAACGGUAGCUAAUACCGGAUAUGACCAAUGAAGGCAUCUUCUGUUGGUGGAAAGAAUUUCGGUUCGGGAUGGACUCGCGGCCUAUCAGCUUGUUGGUGAGGUAACGGCUCACCAAGGCGACGACGGGUAGCCGGCCUGAGAGGGUGAUCGGCCACACUGGGACUGAGACACGGCCCAGACUCCUACGGGAGGCAGCAGUGGGGAAUAUUGCACAAUGGGCGCAAGCCUGAUGCAGCAACGCCGCGUGAGGGACGACGGCCUUCGGGUUGUAAACCUCUUUUAGUAGGGAAGAAGCGAAAGUGACGGUAGGUGCAGAAGAAGGACCGGCCAACUACGUGCCAGCCGCCGCCGUAA